rnacentral:rRNA from 1 species
UACAGAGACUGCAAGCGUUAUUCGGAUUCACUGGGCGUAAAGGGUGCGCAGGCGGCCAAGUGUGUCAGGUGUGAAAUCCCGGGCUUAACUCCGGAACUGCGCCUGAAACUACUUGGCUAGAGCAUUGGAGAGGGAAGUGGAAUUCACGGUGUAGCAGUGAAAUGCGUAGAUAUCGUGAGGAACACCAGAGGCGAAGGCGACUUCCUGGACAAUUGCUGACGCUCAGGCACGAAAGCGUGGGGAGCCAAAGGG